UCACGACCCUCUCAACCCUCUUCUUCUUCUUCUUCUUCUCCUCCGUCUCGCCACAUUGUUUCUCCGAAUUGCAAUCCCCUCAUUCUCCAGACUCUAAGUUCGUUUAUAUUGUCGUCAAUUCUUUUUUUUUUCUUUUCUGGAUUUGGUUAAAUUAUAUUUCCUUGUUCUCUCUCUUUCAGAAUCAUCGAGUUUUAGGUUUUAUAUAUCCGCUUCUGAUUUGUAUACUCUGUCGUCUUCGUUUGUUAAUUUGGGUGCUGAUUUAGUUUUCUAACUCCGUCGAAGUGCUUAGGUGAAAAUGAAAAGUGACUUGUCCAAGUUGGACUCUAUUGUAGAGUUUAUUGUUAGUUUUCUAAUCCCGUUGGUGCAACAUUUGGUUAUAACUCUAUUGUAGAGUUUGAGCCAAGUGACUUGUCCAAGUAUGUAGCAUAAACAGGUCCAAUCCAGCGGGCAAUAUAGGGAGAUCAAUUAUUUUUGAAUUUGGCAGGAGUAUGUUGGUGACUUUUGGCACUCGAUGGACGUUGAAUUUAAUAAGCACGCUGGUGUGAUUGGCUAGGUGGCGAAAGGUCAGGACCAAGCUGGACAACAGUUGAGAGAGAGAAAUUCAAAAUGGAGAUACAAAAAGAUCAAUGAAUAAAUUAAGUGUAAAACAGAGAUCUGACUAGUUGUUUGGGAAUAAUUCGAUUCACCAUAAGAUCGAUAUUCCUUCUUGGAGCUGAACAACAUUUUGAUCAAAUGUUGAAUAUUUGUUAUUCCCUGCUGAAGUCUGGUGUAAGAAUGAGCUUCACUUGGUUCACAUGAGAAAACCAUUAGUUCUUGAA